rfam:Gorilla gorilla gorilla genomic chromosome, chr3, whole genome shotgun sequence
GCCAGGUGUAGUGGUACAUGCCUGUAGUCCUAGCUACUCAGGAGGCUGAGGUGGGAGGAUCACUUGAGCCCAGGAAUUCAAGGCUGUAGUGAGAUAUGAUCAUGCCACUACACUCUAGCCUGGGUGACAGAGUGAGAUCCUGUCUCAA